UCCCUGGUGGUCCAGUGACUUAAGACUCUGCCCUCUGAAUGCAGGGGGCCUGGGUUUGAUCCCUGGUCAAGGAA
rnacentral:tRNA from 1 species